UGGGGAAUAUUGGACAAUGGGCGAAAGCCUGAUCCAGCCAUGCCGCGUGUGUGAAGAAGGUCUUCGGAUUGUAAAGCACUUUAAGUUGGGAGGAAGGGCAGUAAGUUAAUCCCUUGCUGUUUUGACGUUACCAACAGAAUAAGCACCGGCUAACUUCGUGCCAGCAGCCGCGGUAAUACGAAGGGUGCAAGCGUUAAUCGGAAUUUCUGGGCGUAAAGCGCGCGUAGGUGGUUCAGCAAGUUGGAUGUGAAAUCCCCGGGCUCAACCUGGGAACUGCAUCCAAAACUACUGAGCUAGAGUACGGUAGAGGGUGGUGGAAUUUCCUGUGUAGCGGUGAAAUGCGUAGAUAUAGGAAGGAACACCAGUGGCGAAGGCGACCACCUGGACUGAUACUGACACUGAGGUGCGAAAGCGUGGGGAGCAAACAGGAUUAGAUCCCCUGGUAGUCCACGCCGUAAACGAUGUCGACUAGCCGUUGGGAUCCUUGAGAUCUUAGUGGCGCAGCUAACGCGAUAAGUCGACCGCCUGGGGAGCACGGCCGCAAGGUUA
rnacentral:rRNA from 1 species